UUUUGCGAGAUUCUGGCCCCAAAUCCCUUCACCUCCCAGAGGAGUCUCGAGAUCCUCGUGCCCCUGCCACGGUCACUCCGAGACAAUUGUACGCCGCCUCUGACGCUGCGGAGGCGCACGGGCACCCGAAGGCCUAGACCACGAAACGGUGCGGAGUUGGGGCUCAGUUCUCAGAGACCGGGGUUGCGUUUGGCCUCCCAGGCCUCAACAGCCCUAGAAAGGCGGACUGCGCAAUCGCAGUUGGGGGCGGGCGAGAAAAAGGCACUGUCAACUCGGGGCUUGCCCCACCCAAUCAGGAGGUGGAGGGGACCCAGGCACCUCGGGGUGUGAUGUUACCCAGUGUCUUCCCAAUGUCAGGGUUCAGUUUCCAAGGGAAUUCUCAAGUGGGAACUACGAGAUUCAUGCAACUGAUUAUCCCCUCUCCUCCAAAUACGAUUCUAAGGAAAAUCUCCUUGAACUUUUCCCAUGGGAGAGAGCAAGACGGUUUCCAGGUAAAAGCAGAAACUUCGGCCUGACAUCUUUCUAUACGUUCCCAGGCUUACCCGCCUCCCUUCCAGCAGCCCUACCCCCAUCUCCACCCAGAACUCCCGCCCAGAUUCCCUUGCAGGCCACCCGGGGAAGCGUUUAAUUCGGUCUCCACCUCCCACCGCUGCGGAGACGAAUGCAUUUUCCAUCCCUCGGGAGUCUGUUCGCUAAGCAACUGUGGGGCUCGGGGCGUUUGUAGAGGCUGGGAACUCCAGGCAACCUGUAGCUCCGGGCAUCUCAUGCCGCACUGGCUGGUUUACAAACCCGGGGGGAAAGGUCUGGGUUCUGGCGCAGCGGCCCAGGCAACACUGCACCCACGCCGUGCAAAAUGAGCGCACAGAGAGGAAUGGGGGGACGCGAGGCUUCCCGCCUCCUCGCCCCGGUGCCAGCUCCAGGAUGCGUGCGAAAUGGCUGGCGGCCCUGAGGAGCAGGGAGCAGCGGGGUUAAUGCGCCAUUCCAAAUCGAGGUGCCCGCCAGCAGGAAGCGACAGAGGCACCAGAUUUCCCUUCCGCAUUAAGAGGGUUUUUCCUUUUUUUCCUGCUUGGCCGACGGAGAGCUUUUUAAAUUGGACGUGGAGAUCCUCAAUUAUAAGUGUGGAGAAGUUGGCAAAAGAGGAAACAGUGGAAAAGUCCCCGCUUGGCCAGAGGAGGCUCCCGGCUCCCAUUCCCGCCCGCGGCCGGGUGCGGCGCAGGCCCGGAAAGCACGCUCCCACCUCCCCCGCGACAGGGAGGCGCAUUCUUCCCUCGGAGCAUCGCCGGGGCCGGCUCUACUCGGGGCGGCUCUUUAGUUCCCGGUAUCUGCUGGGCGAAGGAAGAGGCGGGGGGUUGGGGCCUCAGCACACACAGCGAUCUACUGGGACGCUUUUCUCAGAGCCCAUCUGGGCCCCCCAACUCAUCCCUCCUCCCCCCCCCCGCCCCUUCCCUGUUUGUCCCCUAACCGCUUUCUCAAAGCACAGCUGCGGGACGUGUUUCCGCCUGCAACCAGCCGCCUUUGCUAUGCGCGCGAAUUGCUUAACGCGCUGCCUGCCACGUGCGGUAACCACGCUUUCCUCCCGAAGUCGGCUCCACCAGAAACCGUCCGAGUCCUGUAGUGCCCACGCGAAAGAGGCUGCGUCGUCUUUUUAAGUAUGAAACCGGUGAACAAGCACCUCCCUCCCUCAUUCCCCCUAAUACCAAAUUACUCCCGAAAAUUCCGGAUGUGUUCACCAGUGUUGCCUGCUCUUCAGGCUCCGACCCUUCAUCCUCUCCCCAGUUUUCCCCUUCCCACCUCACCUGAGCUGGUGUCUCAGUAACCUUUUAGAAUUCCCCCUCCCUCAAUUCCCCGCAGCCUCGUGAUAGCUUCCCCGGGGGCGAGUGCCUCCGCCGCCCGUGCCCCCGCGCCUUCCUCUGUCUGGCAGGCUGGGAGGUUUGUUUGGGCAUUGCCUUCAAGAUCCAGGGCUCCGGGAGAGAAAAGGGAGGCGGGGUGGUGGGGGGCGUGCUGUAACUCCGAGUUUUCUUUUUGGAGUAGGGACACAAGUUGCUGAAAGAUGUAUUGCUUUUCUUAAGUGUGCCUCGUGUCCUAGCCUGACGGAGAACUUAUUUCCCCCUAACUGUUGGGCCCAAGACCAGGGGAAAGAAAAAGGAGGGACGUUUUCUGCGUGCAGUCUGGGGAGAGGUCUCUCUGUAAGGGGCCCGAGGCCAUAUUCCGGGGGGAGGGGGGACGGCCGAAACCCUUUCGACAGUGGGCUGGGACGCUGCGGGGUCCCUGGGCAUCUGACACUUGUUGAAAAGGCGACCCUGUCCCAAACCCCGCCAAACCGAAGGUGUGGCUAAACAGGGCGCUAGAGUUGGUCCGGGCCGGGCGGAAGCCCAGCGGCUCCUACUUUGAGGUGGAGGAAGAGGUGCGUGCGUGAAGUUAAGCUGCAUUUCUUCCUCGGAAUACUUUAAAUGUACAUUCAAAGUACUGUGGAGUACGCUCGAGCACACCGGCGGCAGGGGCCGGAAGAGUUGUGUUUGUCCCCGCCAAUGAGCAAAAAUGUUGGGAGCAAUGGGUUGGGCAGCACCCCCCCUCCCCACCCGGGCGCGCGCGUCGGCUCUGCGGGCGGGUUUGCCACAGCCCAAACCAGGGAGGCGCCAGGAGGCUGGG
rnacentral:lncRNA from 1 species